rnacentral:rRNA from 1 species
UACGAAAGGUGCAAGCGUUACUCGGAAUCACUGGGCGUAAAGCGCACGUAGGCGGACUCGUAGGUCAAUUGUGAAAUUCCAGGGCUCAACCCUGGACCUGCAUUCGAUACGGGCGGACUAGAGUUCGGUAGGGGAGACUGGAAUUCCUGGUGUAGCGGUGAAAUGCGCAGAUAUCAGGAGGAACACCGGUGGCGAAGGCGGGUCUCUGGGCCGAUACUGACGCUGAGGAGCGAAAGCGUGGGGAGCGAACAGG